rnacentral:rRNA from 1 species
AUGGCCUUGGCCGCCGCCCUCGCUCGAGCGGCCACGCGCAUCCUCCACGGCGGCUUCCCGCCGCACGCCACUUCUGCUGCACUCUACACCCCCAGCCGCCUGUUCUGCGACCUCCCCGCCGGCAACGAGCCCUCCGCUCCGGGGGCCGAGGAGGAGCAGUGGGAGGUGGCUGAGGCGGAGAUCCUCCGCGAAGUUGGGCCCGUCGUGGAACUUGUCAAAAACAUCCUCCAUUCCAGCAGAUAUGGAGAUGGUGCGUUUUUAAGUCCGGAAGAUGAAAAGGUUGUGGUAGAAAAGGUUCUUGCUCACCACCCCCGUUCGGAAGACAAGAUUGGUUGUGGACUUGAUGCUAUUAUGGUUAACAAACAUCCUGAUUUCAAGAUGUCCAGAUGCCUGUAUGUGGUUAGAACAAAUGGUGAUUGGGCGGAUUUCUCAUACCGCAAGUGUCUCCGGGCGUACAUCAAAGGGGCCUAUCCAUCCCAUGCGGAUAAGUUUAUAAAUAAACAUCAUCUAGUUCAGAGGCGGUCACAUCUUGGUCUACUUCCUCCAAAGUAG